CUGCCAUGCACUGUUUCUCCUCUGCCAUGCCCCUCCGCCAUGUUGCCCUCCCUGCCAGCUAUUGAAGCCAGCUAUUGACUAAAACCUUCAUAACCUGUGAGGUCCCACAGGUAUCCUUUCCGGUUCAGAGAGCUUCUUUGGUGCUU
rnacentral:lncRNA from 1 species